AUAUAAUUAAGCGGAGGAAAAGAAACUAACAAGGAUUCCCUUAGUAACGGCGAGUGAAGCGGGAAGAGCUCAGACUGAUAAUCUUCGGAAUUGUAGUCUGUAUAAGCCAGGUCAGCAGUAUCACUCAGUAAAGUGUCCUGGAACGGACUGCCAAGGAGGGUGAUAGCCCCGUCUACACUGAGUGUGAAUGCGUACGACCGGUUUUCAAAGAGUCGAGUUGCUUGGGACUGCAGCUCUAAGCGGGUGGUAAAUUCCAUCUAAGGCUAAAUAUAGGCGAGAGACCGAUAGCGCACAAGUA
rnacentral:rRNA from 1 species